GGACUGUUGGACUGUUAGAUGCAGGAAUUCAUAUGAUUUGUUCUGCAGCCAUUUCUCCUUUCUCUCCUGCAGUAGGAUCUGUAGAAAUAAUUUAAAGAGCUGAAGGUGCAUCCUGUGAUCCAGGUGCUCUUCACUCUGUUGCUUCCUGUGCAGUGCUUGCUAGCAUGUGGCACCCCACUGCUCCCCCCAGACUGCUCCAGCAGCCAUUGCCCAUCUGCAGCGCCCAAGGGCUCACCCUGGAGACAAGCAAGGGGAGCACUUCCCUUCUUCUCUAGGGCCACUGCUUUCAAAACAUCUGGAAAUCUCCAUCACUACAUGCACAUCCCAGCCCAGCAGAGCUUCCUGCUAACGACGAGCUACGGCCGGAAGGAACUGCAGCAUCGUUAUUCAUACCUUUAGGAUCCCACUAAGCUCGAUUCGUUCCUGCUUCUCUACCAGGAGUGCUGGGGCAGCCUUGUAGGGAGCUCACUUGUUUCCUACGAUUUAGCACUUGUCUGUAAGUUACGUUCUUGUUCCCCUCUGGUAACUGGCUUUUCUACGCGGCCUCCUAAAUAGAGUCACGCAGGUUCCCCAGCCCCAAACCUCGCCUGCUCUCCAGCUGCGUUCGUGCCACGUCCUCCGCCUUCCCAUUGCUGAAACCAGCUGCCACAGAGCAGCCCGGCCCUCCUGCCGCCGCGCGCUCCCCCGGCUGCGGUCAGACGCGCGUCCGGCCUCAGCCGCCCUCCCAGCCCCGGGACGGCCGCGAGCCCGGCCACGCGGCGCUUCGCUGCAGGCCGCGGGAGGAGCCGCCCCGAGGGCCGCGGUUGCGUUGCUCUCCGCCACGGCAGCAACGCGCCGUGUAGAAGGACGCUCAGCAUUGAGCAAAGCUCCCAAAGGCCCCGCGCCCACCGAGCCGGGAGCUGCGGCCCAUGGGAGCGGGACGCCGGGCGCACACGGCCCGUCGCCAUGCCAACCGGCGCUCCGUCCGCGUCCCCCGAGCUUCGCCGGCAGCCCUCCGCUCCGACGCCCAAUCGCCGACCGCGAGAGAUGGCGGCCGAGCUUCUGUUGGGCGACGCUCACGUCAGUCAACACGUCCGGAACCGCAUGUACUCACACACAUCUCAGGAGCUCGUGUGCCAAACUGGUGAAUGUGCUCGAGGAGUGGAGCAGAACGGAGGUACCUAAAGAGAGCAAUCAGGCCAGUAGUGUCCUCGGCACUAUGACCUGUUCCUGGAGAAGGAAGCUUAUCUAUUUCCUAGGGAAGAAACGUUCGUGUAAGAAUAAAAUUACUGUUCAAUUUAUGUUUUCUGCAGAUUUGCUUCCUUGUCAGACUGAAAAGAGACAACAGACCGGGUUUGGUGUGGAGGUUACAGCUCCGUCGCUGGCUGUGGGACAGCAGUUACGUGCGGUGCUGUGCAGGAGCACAAACUCGAGCCCUUGGGUAGCUGGGUGCUGUCAGCUCAGCAUCACACCCUGCUGA
rnacentral:lncRNA from 1 species